GUGGGGAAUCUUGGACAAUGGGCGCAAGCCUGAUCCAGCCAUGCCGCGUGAGUGAAGAAGGCCCUAGGGUUGUAAAGCUCUUUCGGCGGGGACGAUAAUGACGGUACCCGCAGAAGAAGCCCCGGCUAACUCCGUGCCAGCAGCCGCGGUAAUACGGAGGGGGCUAGCGUUGUUCGGAAUUACUGGGCGUAAAGCGCACGUAGGCGGACUGUUAAGUCGGGGGUGAAAUCCUGGGGCUCAACCUCAGAAUUGCCUCCGAUACUGGCAGUCUCGAGUGCGGGAGAGGUGAGUGGAAUUCCCAGUGUAGAGGUGAAAUUCGUAGAUAUUGGGAAGAACACCAGUGGCGAAGGCGGCUCACUGGCCCGUAACUGACGCUGAGGUGCGAAAGCGUGGGGAGCAAACAGGAUUAGAAACCCCAGUAGUCC
rnacentral:rRNA from 1 species